CUCGGGGCAGUGGGUGGCCCCAGUUCAGGCCCGUCUAGGGCUUCCUCAGCCUGCAAACCCCUUUCUUCUGCUGAGACAGGCUGUGGGAAAUUGAAUCAGGCACGCUCCUGAUGCACACAAUCCUGGUGUUAUCUGUCCCCCUCUCUCACCGAUUGAGGCCCCAUGUGGCCUUCUGUGAGGCUGAGGAACCCUGGUUAACCUUCUGGUUUUGCUGGCAAUUAGUCCUCCUUUGCUUCUGCCACCCCCCCCCCCAACUCCCCCAGCCUGGCCAGUCUUCUUGUGUGGCAGAAUAGGUUUCUGCCUCAGGACCUUUGCACAUGCUAGUCUGUCUGGAGUUUCCUUUUGACUCUCCAUCAGCCUCACUCCUUGUUACAUGGGGCUCAGCUCAGACAUCUCCUGGAAGUCUGCUCAGACUGCCCCAUUCAAAGCAGCCUUUGCCCUGGUCUUGCCACCAUGGGCUCCUACUUUGUCAGACAGGUACAUGAAAUGGUGAAUUGAUGAAUGAAUCAAGAACCAAACAAGAGGACCCUGUAGUUGUUGUCUUUAGAUAUUUGGUAUCUUGUCUUGAGGAUGAGAAAUCAAACCAGCUUUUUUCGGCCUUAAGGGGGAAGAGUUAGGGUUGAAGGUGGGGGUGGAUUAUAGUGAGGUACCAAUUCUGUCUCUGCAAAAAGAGAUGACUAGUCAGGGGCCCAAGGUGAAGUUGUGAGGUAGUAAGCUCCCCAUCACAUAGAAGCAUACAAAUAAAAGAUGGAAGGCCACACAGCAGCGUUGUGGCAGUUGGGACUGAAGCAUCAGAUGAAUAUGUGAAACUGGACUUCCUCCUGACCUUAGAGCUCCUUAAGUCACAAUUUCAGGGGGGUAUUGUUCAUCUCAGAGAAUUAAAUAAGAACCCCCAAAAUCUAGUCUUAACACCUUCUCUACAUUUUUAUUUUUUGCCUCCAGGGUUAUCGCUGGGGCUCAGUGCCUGUACUACGAAUCUACUGCUCCUGGAGGCCAUUUUUCCCCAUUUGUUUUUGUUGCCCUUGUUGUUGUUAUACAGGACAGAGAGAAAUCGAGACAGGAGGGGAAGACAGAGAGAGGGAGAGACAGGUAAACACCUAUAGACCUGCUUCACCACUUGUGAAGCAACUCCCCUGCAGCUGGGGAGUCAGGGGCUUGAACCAGGAUCCUUAUACUGGUUGAUGUGCUUCGCACACCAUGCGCUUAACCUGCUGCACUACAGCCCAAGCCCCUCUUCUCUAGAUUUUUUAAACAUUUAUUUAUUUAUUUAUUUAUUUAUUUUGCCUCCAGGGUUGUUGCUGGGGCUCGGUGUCUGCACCAUGAAUCCACUGCUCCUAGAGGCCAUUUUUUCCCCUUUUGUAAACCUUUGUAUUUAUUAUUAAUUUAUUUACCUAGUAUUGGAUAGAGACAGAAAUUGAAAAGAGGGGGAGCUAAGGAGAGAGAAAUGCCUGCAGCACUGCUUCACUGCUCAUGAAGCUUUCCCCUUGCAGGUGGGGCCUGGGGAUUGAACCUAGGUCUUUGUGCAUUGUAACAUGUGUGUUCAACCAGGUGUGCCACCACCCAUCCCCUCCUGUUCCACAUUUUAUAAAAGACAAUCUUCAAGGCCCACAGAGGCUGAAGUCUUGUCCAGAGUCACACAGCCUAGCCCCUGGCAGAGGGAUACCUGGAAUGCAGAGAUCCUGAAGUCCUGUUAGUGGCUAUUUUUUCCCACUUCAACAAGUGUCACUGGAUUUUUCCUACUUCACCUGCUAUAAAGAUCUAAAAAACCUUGAGCUAGGCUAGACCACAGUGAUGACUCUGCAAGUGAGUCCUUGAGUGUUCUUAAGGGGCUGCUGGAGCACAGCAGGGCUCAGGGACUUGCUGAAGGGCGUGCUGUGCAAAGCCUCACCCAGAGCCCAGUUUGGGCAACAUGGUCUUGGGUCUGCUGGACUGUACCUUGCUCAUUUUUCCUCUUGGAUGUUUGCAGAAAGGACCAGAUGCUGACCUUAAGUUAAUAUGACUAGACGAACCUUAAAAACUGCACAAACAACAAUUUUGCUUCUCAGUGAUUUUUCCCCCCUAAAUAUUUGCUUAAUUUAUUUACAGUGGGGGAGUGGUGGCACACCCAGCUAAGCACAUGUACUGCCAUGUACAGGGACCCAGGUUUAAACCCCAGCUCCCCACCUACAGGGGGAACGCUUCACAGUCAGUGAAGCAGAUCUGCAGGUAUCUCUCUUUGUCUCUUCCUCUCUUAUCUCCCCAUCCUCUCUCAAUUUCUCUCUGUCCUGUCAAAUAAAAACACAAAAGGGGGCCAGGGAAUGGCCACUGGGAGCAGUGGAUUCAUCAUGCUGGUGCUGAACCCUAGUGAUAACCCUAGAGGCAAUUAGAGAGAGAGAGAGAGAGAGGAAGCCCAGAGCAUCACUCUGACGUGUGAUACUGGGGACAGAACUCCGGACCUCACACUUAUAAAUCAAGCAUUUUAGCCACUGUAUCACCUCCCAGGCUGUCUUUUCAGUAGCUAUCAAUGGUAAGAUGUGACAGUUUCACUGUCAUUUGUAAGUGACCAGCCCCUGGUAGCUGGGCUGUUUCUUAGGAUUUCUUAUUCUUGUCCUUGAGCUGAGCAUGUGAUUCCAGAUGCCCUGAUGAGGUGGAAUAUUGGAGACCUUCAGACUGACAUGUUGCGAAUUAUUUAGCAUUGACACGCAGGGUGAUUUUUCUCUUGGAGGAAAAUGACAUUCUUCUUUAUAUCCAAAGAGGGUUUCUUAGGCCUUUUUUUUCUAUGUGAUUUUCUACACUUGUUUCUCGGAAUUCCACUGACUGAGGUGUAGACAGCAUGGUCUUGCCAUUCUAGGUUCAGCAUUUUGGCCCUGUGUGUCAGUAAUUGUGGCCACUGUCCAUGGGUCAGGGUAAGACAUGACAUUGUGUCCCAUGUGAUUCCCUAGACCACCAUUUGCACAGGGUGUGUCCUUGCUCCUGGGAACUUCUGUCUGUGAAGCAGUAGGUCAGGUGUUGGCCCCAUAGGGCCUCCAAGUAGAGGCAAGCCUGGGGCUUGACAGAGUAGACUUUCUCUGUUGAGGUGUCUGUCUAGAACCCAAGAGGAACAGAGGCCUUGACCAAACCAACUCCUUGAGUUCAAAUCCCUACCGCAAAUUCUACAUGUGUUCCGUACAGGGUUUUGUGCCUGCUGUGAGGACAAACAUGAGCUUAGAACAUUGUCAGGUGCAUGGGAAACGCUGAGGACUUCUGGCCAUUUCCAUGUAUUAUCUUCUAAUCCUAGGAGGCCAGGGCUGAUGUCAUCUCCGUUUUAAAGAUGUGGAAGUCAAGGCACAGAGAGCUUAAGCACAGAGCUAAUACAUGAAGAAUCCAUAUUUAAGUGGUCUGCCCCACAGCCUGAGUUCUGACCCACCUUCUGUCCUACUUCUUAGGGUGACGAGGGUUAGACAGAUGAGAGACCAAUCCCAUGAUUGGUGAUGCUAUGUGUAUGGGGGUGGGGGUAUUUCUGGAUGGGAGCCCUAUGGUGCCUGUCACAUGAUUGGAAGGGGCUAAGAUUGGUGGAAGGAAACCUUAGUAGGGGCUCAAGUUAAGGAA